UUUGCUUUCGGCGUGCGUUGUAUACCUAUACCAAUAUAAUAUGAUUAGUUUGCGCGAACGAUAUCCAUUAAAACGAUGACAUCCAGCGACACGAUUUAUUAAAAAUAAUUGUUGAACGCUCAAAAUCUUCGUCUAAAACUCUAGGGGAAAGAAGAAUAAAGUGGCCAUUUCGAUAUCCAUUCAAAUGAUUUGACGUCAAGUGACAUGAUUUAAAGAAAUGUUGAACGCUCAAAAUCUUUGUCUACAACUCCUUCAACUGCUAAGGUUGUUCAACUAACAGCUUGGAACAAACAUUGAAGUUUGGUGGUACUGGGGUAACGGACCUGCCACAACUAGCUGCGGCGGCUGACGGAUUUCGUCUUCGUACGCUUAUAACUACAUAUCAUUUACUACAACAUUCUGGUAUGCAUAUUAUACUAUAAUAUUUCUUAUUAUGAGUUGAGCAACGGAUCGUAAUAGUAUUUGAUGGUAUAUCGGAAGGAGUUUGACAGCCGCCAUUGUCACCACUGCAGCAUGUACGUAAGUCCGUUUCGGUGUACCGGACAAAGUUUUGGCACGUCCUUGAAUAAAUCUUGGUCUACAAUACUCUGCAAGCCUUCGCACUACUGAAUUUGGCAUCUACAUCUUCCAUAAUGCAUUAUUUAGAGAACUAUUAUGCGAUACGUGAAUGUAGAUGAUAUAUUAUACAACAGCCGUUUUAUUGUACUUACAAAAUGAUACAAUAUUACGUCUUGAAUAUCCAAUAUAAUAUUCUCGACAUAAGUGGGGCUGGAUGAAGCCUGACCAAAGUCCUAGGCACAUAUUUUUAAAUAGCCAGUUGUAUAGCAAUAUUAUAAUAAGGUCAUAAUGGAAAAAAAUCAUUAUCUUAUGGGGAAAACUUGUGUGUCUUUAAUAAGUGGCAAUAUGUCGUUUAUGGCAUUUGGGUUAACCGUAAAUGAUAAUUAGUGUGAGUGUUGCUGAAUGCGGAUACCGGGCGAACUUGUGUCAACGGCACCGCCGACCAAAAAUGAAAAGCGUGUUUUUUUUCGUCAAACACGCUUUACAGGAGACACUGUUACGCAUCCUAGGAUGGUCUGAUUUCAUUAUUUUUUGUUAACAUGAGGAUGAUUUUCUACAAAGUGAAUUGAACUUUAAUUUUUAAUUUCAAUACUUACUUAAGACAAAAACUAAUAAAAAAACAAAAGCUUGUAAAUAUUAUAAAUAUUAUAAGGAAAUAUUUUAUUUAUAUUUUUUGGCCAAGAAGUACAAAUUUGAAAAAUAUUUUGUAAAAAACAUUAACAAAACAUUUAAAUCAUAUUUUUUGAAAAACAUUUUCAUGCAAACAUAAAAAUUUUAGUCAACAUUUUUGUGCAAUCAUAUAGUCCAAUAUUUUGUUAUCAUGAGAAUAAAAUAUUUAUACAAUAUAAUUAGUCAAAUAUUCAUUAUACAAGCACUACAAAAUAUUCACAAAAUAUUAUAAUUUCUCAAUUAAUGCUGUGUGGGAAGUAUAUUUUAUUAGUUUAGUAUUAUAGUUAUUUAUAUUUAAAAACAUUUUUUUUCUACUUUAUGUGAGAUAGUCAUUGAUCAAAUAAAUAAAUAAAUGUUAUUUAAUAAUAUAUUUUCAUUCAUUAAUACAAUGCUAAAGCAUUUAAUAUUUCUCCUGGCAACAUAUAUUAAAUGUUGAAUGCUAUAACGAGUGUGAACUAAAAGUGUUAAAUUUAUUUUUAUAAUAUAAUAAAUUAUAUUUUUAUAAUUUAUUAUUCAUUUAGA